rnacentral:pre_miRNA from 1 species
CCCGCCUGCCCAGUGUUCAGACUACCUGUUCAGGAAGUAGUGUUUGUACAGUAGUCUGCACAUUGGUUAGGCUGGGUGGGGAAGC